GGGACACGUGGUAUCCUGUCUGAAUAUGGGGGGACCAUCCUCCAAGGCUAAAUACUCCUGACUGACCGAUAGUGAACCAGUACCGUGAGGGAAAGGCGAAAAGAACCCCGGCGAGGGGAGUGAAAAAGAACCUGAAACCGUGUACGUACAAGCAGUGGGAGCACGCUUAGGCGUGUGACUGCGUACCUUUUGUAUAAUGGGUCAGCGACUUAUAUUCUGUAGCAAGGUUAACCGAAUAGGGGAGCCGAAGGGAAACCGAGUCUUAACUGGGCGUUAAGUUGCAGGGUAUAGACCCGAAACCCGGUGAUCUAGCCAUGGGCAGGUUGAAGGUUGGGUAACACUAACUGGAGGACCGAACCGACUAAUGUUGAAAAAUUAGCGGAUGACUUGUGGCUGGGGGUGAAAGGCCAAUCAAACCGGGAGAUAGCUGGUUCUCCCCGAAAGCUAUUUAGGUAGCGCCUCGUGAAUUCAUCUCCGGGGGUAGAGCACUGUUUCGGCAAGGGGGUCAUCCCGACUUACCAACCCGAUGCAAACUGCGAAUACCGGAGAAUGUUAUCACGGGAGACACACGGCGGGUGCUAACGUCCGUCGUGAAGAGGGAAACAACCCAGACCGCCAGCUAAGGUCCCAAAGUCAUGGUUAAGUGGGAAACGAUGUGGGAAGGCCCAGACAGCCAGGAUGUUGGCUUAGAAGCAGCCAUCAUUUAAAGAAAGCGUAAUAGCUCACUGGUCGAGUCGGCCUGCGCGGAAGAUGUAACGGGGCUAAACCAUGCACCGAAGCUGCGGCAGCGACGCUGAUGCGUUGUUGGGUAGGGGAGCGUUCUGUAAGCCUGUGAAGGUGUGCUGUGAGGCAUGCUGGAGGUAUCAGAAGUGCGAAUGCUGACAUAAGUAACGAUAAAGCGGGUGAAAAGCCCGCUCGCCGGAAGACCAAGGGUUCCUGUCCAACGUUAAUCGGGGCAGGGUGAGUCGACCCCUAAGGCGAGGCCGAAAGGCGUAGUCGAUGGGAAACAGGUUAAUAUUCCUGUACUUGGUGUUACUGCGAAGGGGGGACGGAGAAGGCUAUGUUGGCCGGGCGACGGUUGUCCCGGUUUAAGCGUGUAGGCUGGUUUUCCAGGCAAAUCCGGAAAAUCAAGGCUGAGGCGUGAUGACGAGGCACUACGGUGCUGAAGCAACAAAUGCCCUGCUUCCAGGAAAAGCCUCUAAGCAUCAGGUAACAUCAAAUCGUACCCCAAACCGACACAGGUGGUCAGGUAGAGAAUACCAAGGCGCUUGAGAGAACUCGGGUGAAGGAACUAGGCAAAAUGGUGCCGUAACUUCGGGAGAAGGCACGCUGAUAUGUAGGUGAAGUCCCUCGCGGAUGGAGCUGAAAUCAGUCGAAGAUACCAGCUGGCUGCAACUGUUUAUUAAAAACACAGCACUGUGCAAACACGAAAGUGGACGUAUACGGUGUGACGCCUGCCCGGUGCCGGAAGGUUAAUUGAUGGGGUUAGCCGCAAGGCGAAGCUCUUGAUCGAAGCCCCGGUAAACGGCGGCCGUAACUAUAACGGUCCUAAGGUAGCGAAAUUCCUUGUCGGGUAAGUUCCGACCUGCACGAAUGGCGUAAUGAUGGCCAGGCUGUCUCCACCCGAGACUCAGUGAAAUUGAACUCGCUGUGAAGAUGCAGUGUACCCGCGGCAAGACGGAAAGACCCCGUGAACCUUUACUAUAGCUUGACACUGAACAUUGAGCCUUGAUGUGUAGGAUAGGUGGGAGGCUUUGAAGUGUGGACGCCAGUCUGCAUGGAGCCGACCUUGAAAUACCACCCUUUAAUGUUUGAUGUUCUAACGUUGACCCGUAAUCCGGGUUGCGGACAGUGUCUGGUGGGUAGUUUGACUGGGGCGGUCUCCUCCUAAAGAGUAACGGAGGAGCACGAAGGUUGGCUAAUCCUGGUCGGACAUCAGGAGGUUAGUGCAAUGGCAUAAGCCAGCUUGACUGCGAGCGUGACGGCGCGAGCAGGUGCGAAAGCAGGUCAUAGUGAUCCGGUGGUUCUGAAUGGAAGGGCCAUCGCUCAACGGAUAAAAGGUACUCCGGGGAUAACAGGCUGAUACCGCCCAAGAGUUCAUAUCGACGGCGGUGUUUGGCACCUCGAUGUCGGCUCAUCACAUCCUGGGGCUGAAGUAGGUCCCAAGGGUAUGGCUGUUCGCCAUUUAAAGUGGUACGCGAGCUGGGUUUAGAACGUCGUGAGACAGUUCGGUCCCUAUCUGCCGUGGGCGCUGGAGAACUGAGGGGGGCUGCUCCUAGUACGAGAGGACCGGAGUGGACGCAUCACUGGUGUUCGGGUUGUCAUGCCAAUGGCACUGCCCGGUAGCUAAAUGCGGAAGAGAUAAGUGCUGAAAGCAUCUAAGCACGAAACUUGCC
rnacentral:rRNA from 1 species